GACAUAGGUGGCGAACGUUAUCCGGAUUUAUUGGGCGUAAAGGAUGCGUAGAUGGUGGAAUAAGUUAUUGAUCUAAGUCGAGCUCAACUUGAUGGAAGUUGAUAAUACUGCUCUACUGGAGGACAGGAGAGGUUAACGGAAUGCACAUAAGUAGGGUGAAAUCCAUUGAUCUAUGGUAGACCACCAGAAAGGCGAAGGCAGUUAACUAUUCUGUUCCUGACAUUGAGGCAUGAAAGCGUGGGAGCAAACGG
rnacentral:rRNA from 1 species